rnacentral:rRNA from 1 species
UACGUAGGGGGCGAGCGUUGUCCGGAUUCAUUGGGCGUAAAGAGCUCGUAGGCGGCUUGGCAAGUCGGGUGUGAAAUCUCCAGGCUCAACCUGGAGUCGCCACUCGAUACUGCCAUGGCUAGAGUCCGGUAGGGGACCAUGGAAUUCCUGGUGUAGCGGUGAAAUGCGCAGAUAUCAGGAGGAACACCAGUGGCGAAGGCGGUGGUCUGGGCCGGAACUGACGCUGAGGAGCGAAAGCGUGGGGAGCGAACAGGAUUAGAUACCCUUGUAGUCC